UACGAAGGGGGCUAGCGUUGUUCGGAAUUACUGGGCGUAAAGCGCACGUAGGCGGAAUGUUAAGUCAGGGGUGAAAUCCCGGGGCUCAACCCCGGAACUGCCUUUGAUACUGGCAUUCUCGAGUCCGGAAGAGGUGAGUGGAAUUCCGAGUGUAGAGGUGAAAUUCGUAGAUAUUCGGAGGAACACCAGUGGCGAAGGCGGCUCACUGGUCGUGGUACUGACGCUGAGGUGCGAAAGCGUGGGGAGCAAACAGG
rnacentral:rRNA from 1 species